rfam:Anopheles atroparvus strain EBRO unplaced genomic scaffold supercont1.36, whole genome shotgun sequence.
ACAACGGCCCUUUUCAGGGCCAACGAAUAAUUCAGAAAGAUUAUUU